AUUGAACGCUGGCGGCAGGCCUAAUACAUGCAAGUCGAACGAGUGGCGGACGGGUGAGUAAUGUCUGGGAAACUGCCUGAUGGAGGGGGAUAACUACUGGAAACGGUAGCUAAUACCGCAUACCAUCAGAGGUGCCCAGGUGGGAUGAGCGAGUUGGUGGGGUAACGGUUCCCAAAGGCGACGAUCCCUAGCUGGUCUGAGAGGAUGACCAGCCACACUGGAACUGAGACACGGUCCAGACUCCUACGGGAGGCAGCAGUGGGGAAUAUUGCACAAUGGACGAAAGCCUGAUGCAGCCAUGCCGCGUGUAUGAAGAAGGCCUUCGGGUUGUAAAGUACUUUCAGCGGGGAGGCGUUACCCGCAGAAGAAGCACCGGCUAACUCCGUGCCAGCAGCCGCGGUAAUAC
rnacentral:rRNA from 1 species